AUCAUUAUUAUUAUUAUUAUUAUUAUUAUUAUGAUUAUUAUUAUGAUUAUUAUUAUUAUUAUUAUUAUUAUUAUUAUCAUUGUUAUUAUUAUUAUAUCAGGUCUUCGAUCUGAUAUAGACCCGAAUAACACUCAACCUAAUUAGUUAUAUUGGUAUCAGUUAUAUUUUAUUGAUCUGGGAAGGAUGAAAGGCGAAGUGGUUGACCUUUGCGGGAGCUGAAAUCAGAAGGUAAACAGUCGCUAGACACACACGCACACGCACACGCACACACACGCAUACACACACGGACAUGGACACACACACGAAGAAAUUUUAGACUUGUGUGCUAAAGUCAGAAAGUGUUAUUAUUGUAAAUUUUAUUGUAAUUAUCUGGAUUUUUGUUUUGAUUUAUUUAUCGUACUUUUUUGUAAUUGUCAAUGUUUCCCUUCCGGAAUUUUGUAAUAAAAUAAAUAUGCAUACUUUUUUUCUUAAAUUUUCUUGCAAUUUAUAAUAUUCUGUUGCGAUUUCUAAAGGACACCACCUGGAACAAAUAAAUUUAUGCUGCUGCAAAUUAUAAAUGCAAUCCCAUGCAGUAUCAUAUAGCUCCAGCGUGGUCUUGGCCAUAAGGAGUAAAACUAAACUAAAGAAUUUAAGAACUUAUUUUUCCCUGUGGAGCCAUACUUGGUUAAUUAAUUAAUUAA